rnacentral:rRNA from 1 species
GAUGAACGCUGGCGGCGUGCCUAAUACAUGCAAGUCGAGCGAACGGACGAGAAGCUUGCUUCUCUGAUGUUAGCGGCGGACGGGUGAGUAACACGUGGAUAACCUACCUAUAAGACUGGGAUAACUUCGGGAAACCGGAGCUAAUACCGGAUAAUAUUUUGAACCGCAUGGUUCAAAAGUGAAAGACGGUCUUGCUGUCACUUAUAGAUGGAUCCGCGCUGCAUUAGCUAGUUGGUAAGGUAACGGCUUACCAAGGCAACGAUGCAUAGCCGACCUGAGAGGGUGAUCAGCCACACUGGAACUGAGACACGGUCCAGACUCCUACGGGAGGCAGCAGUAGGGAAUCUUCCGCAAUGGGCGAAAGCCUGACGGAGCAACGCCGCGUGAGUGAUGAAGGUCUUCGGAUCGUAAAACUCUGUUGUUAGGGAAGAACAUAUGUGUAAGUAACUGUGCACAUCUUGACGGUACCUAAUCAGAAAGCCACGGCUAACUACGUG